ACAAGGAGUUUCAUUACACCCUCCAGCUUCUGGAGGCCCAUUUUUCCUCUUCUCUGACCAGAAUGCUGGGCUUCUCUGUGGGAGUGUGUGCUGCCUGUAUCAGAUGUGCGGUUUCCUGAUUUAAAGUAUCCUGGGUCUAAGCAAGAAGAUACAGGAAAAAAAUUUACCAGGAAACUCACCUGGUAGUGAGUUUUCACUCACCUGCUUUGUGGGUUAUUCUUCAGAUUUUGACUUUUCACUCCAAUCUGAUUUUAUUUACUUUACCAUGUUCUCUUAAGUAGUUGCUUUUUUAAAAAUUUGUCCAGAGUUUUUAGUUGUAACCAGUGGGAGAGAUGGGCUGUAGGAGGCUUAUUUUAGCUUAGCCUUCAUUCUCCCUCUUUAUUUUAAGGUGCUUUUUUCCCCCUUCCUUUUGAGGUAAUUUUAGACUUACAGAAGUUGCAAAAAUAGUACAGAGUUCCCGUAUGUCCUUCUCCCAGCUUUCCCUUUUGUCAGCAUCUUACAUAAUGAUAGAACCCUUAUCAGAACUAAGAAAUUAACCUCGGUUCAUUACUAUUAUAACAACAGAAGUCAUUUAGGUUUCAUCCGUUUGCCUGUUAAUGUCCUUUUUCUUUCCUGGAAUUCAGUGCAGGAAGAAUCCCAUUCAGUUGUCGUGUCUCCUUAGUGCCCUCUGUGAUCUGUGACAGUUCCUCCUCCCUUCCAACUCUUUUAUGGUCUUAACACAUCUGAAGAGUACUAGCCAGCUCUUUUAUAGAAUGUCCAUCAGCGUGGGCUUGUCUGAGGUUUUCUCAUGAUCAUAUUGAGGUUAUGCAUUUUGGGGGGGAAACACCAGAGAGCUGAUGUAUGCUUUCCUCUGUGCGCUGCCCUCCCCCAGGACUUCGUGAGGUUGAUAUGUUUACCUGGUAAUGUCACCUUGACCACUGUCUAGAGUAGUAUCUGUUGGAUUGAUACUAAAAUUAAUAUUUUACUCUUUGUAAUUGUUAAAUACAUUAAGGGAGAUACUCUGAAACUGUGAAAAUAUCCCAUUUCUGCUUAAAGUUUGACCCAUUAAAUUUAGCGUCCUUCAGUGGAUCAUUAGGACUUCCCUGGUGGCUCAGAUGGUAAAGAAUCUGCUUACCUUUACAGUCAGUACUUUAAGAAAUUAUAGUCAUGAUGAUGACGGUGAUGAAUUGGAUCCCAGAAGAGUACUUGCCAGUCAUGUACCUGGAACCCAUUUUUCCUCUUGGAAUCUCAGCUUUCUUCUUCAUAAAGUGAGAUGAUUAUGAAUCUGACCUCACUGGAUUGUGGAGGUGUUGAAAUGAGAUCCUGGCAGCAAAACAGCCAGCUGAGAUUCUGUGGAUCAGGAAUUAAGCCAGGACUUGGCUGGGCAACUGGGCAAUUCUUCUGCUCCCUGUGGCAUCAUCAGUGGUCACUCAGUGGGACUCAGCUGAAUGACAGAUUAGUCCAGAGGAUCCAAGACAGCUUCACACAGACCUGAAUGACUGGAUGGCUGAGCUCAGCUAGAAGUGUCUUCAGGAGUACCUGCGCAUGGCCUUGCCAGCUGGCCAGUCUCAUGGCAGGCUUACCUGGCGGCUGCUCCCUCCAGAGUGAGCACUCCAGGAGACCCAGACAGAAGCUGGCCUUUCGUGAUACAGCCACUGAAGUCAUGUAGCAUUACUUCCUAUAAAAUGUUGGUCGAAACAGCCGCAGAAUCCCAUCUGGAGUCACAGGGAGGAGACAAAGACCCACCUUUUGAUGGAAGGAAUAACAGUGACCAUUAAAAAAAAAAAAAUGCCACAAGGAUAAGUUGUUCUCAGUGCAACAAGUCCAGAGAGGUUCAGGAACUUUCCCCAAGGACAGUUACGGAUAUGAACGGUGCUAGGAAGGAAACAAAAAACAGAGUGAAAGGCAGAGAAUGAAAGGAGAUGGUGGGAAACCAGCACCUGCUGUAUAGCAGAGGGAACUAUAUUCAGUAUCCUGUGAUAAACCAUAUGGAAAAGGAUAUUAAAAAAUGAAUGUAUA